rnacentral:rRNA from 1 species
GAUGAACGCUGGCGGCGUGCCUAAUACAUGCAAGUCGAGCGAACAGACGCUGAGCUUGCUCCUCUGACGUUAGCGGCGGACGGGUGAGUAACACGUGGAUAACCUCCCUAUAAGACUGGGAUAACUUCGGGAAACCGGAUCUAAUCCCGGAUAAUAUAUUGAACCGCAUGGUUCAAUAGUGAAAGACGGUUUUGCUGUCACUUAUAGCGGCAUCCCGGCCGCAUUAGCUAGUUGGUAAGUUAACGGCUUACCAAGGCAACGAGGCGUAGCCGAGCUGAGAGGGGGAUAGCCCACACUGGAAGUGAGACACGGUCCAGACGCCUACGGGAGGCAGCAGUAGGGAAUCUGCGGCAAUGGGCGAAAGCUUGACGGAGCAACGCCGCGUGAGUGAUGAAGGUCUUCGGAUCGUAAAACUCUGUUAUUAGGGAAGAACAAAUGUGUAAGUAAAUAUGCACGUCUUGACGGUACCGAAUCAGAAAGCAACGGCUAACUACGUG